AAAGGGAGACCUAAUUCGGGUAUGGGACGAAAAAAAAGUAGUCGCUACCAAGAAUCAAUCCCAAAAGGUCGGAGCGAGGCAAGAUUGGCUUUCAAACUAGGUUCUGGGUUCACACAAGACCUGAAUCAGGAACAAGGGCUAUUAGCUCAGGUGGUUAGAGCGCACCCCUGAUAAGGGUGAGGUCCCUGGUUCGAGUCCAGGAUGGCCCACCUGCACAGGUGGAAAAAAGAAAAGAAGCUCCGAAUCAGCACCUUAUCUUACUUAUAUAGUAAGAGAGAAUGCUGGCUCUGAGUNCAGAGUCCAGAGGAACCUUGAAAACUGCAUAGAGCUAGGUGAAAAAGCCAAAAAAGAAGACCGCAAGGUCAAGCUAAUAAGGGCAACCUG
rnacentral:tRNA from 1 species